AUUUAACGCUGGCGGCCGGCCUAACACAUGCAAGUCGAACGAGUGGCGGACGGGUGAGUAAUGUCUGGGAAACUGCCCUCUGGAGGGGGAUAACUACUGGAACCGGUAGCUAAUACCGCAUACCAUCGGAUGUUCCCAGAUGGGAUUAGCUAUGAGGUGGGGUAACGGCUCACCGAGGCGCCGAUCCCUAGCUGUUCUGAGAGGAUGACCAGCCACACUGGAACUGAGACACGGUCCAGAAUCCUACGGGAGGCAGCAGUGGGGAAUAUGGCACAAUGGGCGCAAGCCUGAUGCAGCCAUGCCGCGUGUAUGAAGAAGGCCUUCGGGUUGUAAAGUACUUUCAGCGAGGAGGCGUUACUCGCAGAAGAAGCACCGGCGAACUCCGUGCCAGCAGUCGCGGUAAUUC
rnacentral:rRNA from 1 species